AAACCAUGAUGAGGGCAUCUCUGUAUGAGCAGUUUAAAAUAUUCCCAAGUUUCGUAAAAGUUCUCUCAUUCCAUUUGUUUGAAGUUAGUAAUAUCUAUUUUUAGUUG
rfam:Gossypium arboreum cultivar AKA8401 contig_5296_3, whole genome shotgun sequence.